rnacentral:lncRNA from 1 species
CACAGUCAGUGAGUCAGUCACUCGCGCAGUUUGUGGUGUUGAGUUAAAAGUAUUUUGUAAUUAACUAAAGUAAUUAUCUAAAUACGUGACGGUUUAGAAAAUGCAACAGAUGUCAAAUUAAUCAGCGCUGGAUUUUAUCAUUGAAUGCAUCUAAUAAUGUGAUGGAAAAAUACUAAAUACUCUUACUAAUCGUGUAAGAAAUUAAAAAUAACACCAAAGAAUUUAUGUUUAAACCGAAGU